UUCCCGUACUUGGUGUUACUGCGAAGGGGGGACGGAGAAGGCUAUGUUGGCCGGGCGACGGUUGUCCCGGUUUAAGCGUGUAGGUGUGUGUUCCAGGUAAAUCCGGUUCACUUUAACACUGAGGCGUGACGACGAGGCACUACGGUGCUGAAGCAACAAAUGCCCUGCUUCCAGGAAAAGCCUCUAAGCAUCAGGUAACAUCAAAUCGUACCCCAAACCGACACAGGUGGUCAGGUAGAGAAUACCAAGGCGCUUGAGAGAACUCGGGUGAAGGAACUAGGCAAAAUGGUGCCGUAACUUCGGGAGAAGGCACGCUGACACGUAGGUGAAGUGAUUUACUCAUGGAGCUGAAGUCAGUCGAAGAUACCAGCUGGCUGCAACUGUUUAUUAAAACACAGCACUGUGCAAACACGAAAGUGGACGUAUACGGUGUGACGCCUGCCCGGUGCCGGAAGGUUAAUUGAUGGGGUCAGCGCAAGCGAAGCUCCUGAUCGAAGCCCCGGUAAACGGCGGCCGUAACUAUAACGGUCCUAAGGUAGCGAAAUUCCUUGUCGGGUAAGUUCCGACCUGCACGAAUGGCGUAAUGAUGGCCAGGCUGUCUCCACCCGAGACUCAGUGAAAUUGAACUCGCUGUGAAGAUGCAGUGUACCCGCGGCAAGACGGAAAGACCCCGUGAACCUUUACUAUAGCUUGACACUGAACAUUGAGCCUUGAUGUGUAGGAUAGGUGGGAGGCUUUGAAGUGUGGACGCCAGUCUGCAUGGAGCCGACCUUGAAAUACCACCCUUUAAUGUUUGAUGUUCUAACGUGGACCCGUAAUCCGGGUUGCGGACAGUGUCUGGUGGGUAGUUUGACUGGGGCGGUCUCCUCCUAAAGAGUAACGGAGGAGCACGAAGGUUGGCUAAUCCUGGUCGGACAUCAGGAGGUUAGUGCAAUGGCAUAAGCCAGCUUGACUGCGAGCGUGACGGCGCGAGCAGGUGCGAAAGCAGGUCAUAGUGAUCCGGUGGUUCUGAAUGGAAGGCCAUCGCUCAACGGAUAAAAGGUACUCCGGGGAUAACAGGCUGAUACCGCCCAAGAGUUCAUAUCGACGGCGGUGUUUGGCACCUCGAUGUCGGCUCAUCACAUCCUGGGGCUGAAGU
rnacentral:rRNA from 1 species